rnacentral:rRNA from 1 species
UGGGGAAUAUUGCACAAUGGGCGGAAGCCUGAUGCAGCGACCCGCAUGGGGGAUGAAGGCCUUCGGGUUGUAAACUCCUUUCGACAGGGACGAAGCUUUUGUGACGGUACCUGUAUAAGAAGCACCGGCUAACUACGUGCCAGCAGCCGCGGAAUUACGUAGGGGGCGAGCGUUGUCCGGAAUUACUGGCCGUAAUUUNCAANUAGGUGGUUUGUCGCGUCGUCUGUGAAAUUCCGGGGCUUAACUCCGGGCGUGCAGGCGAUACGGGCUGACUUGAGUGCUGUAGGGAAGACUGGAAUUCCUGGUGUAGCGGUGAAAUGCGCAGAUAUCAGGAGGAACACCGAUGGCGAAGGCAGGUCUCUGGGCAGUAACUGACGCUGAGGAGCGAAAGCUUGGGUAGCGAACAGGAUUAGAUACCCUGGUAGUCCAUGCCGUAAACGGUGGGCGCUAGGUGUAGGGGGCUUCCACGUCUUCUGUGCCGUAGCUAACGCAUUNAGCGCCCCGCCUGGGAGUACGGCCGCAAGCUUA